rnacentral:rRNA from 1 species
GGACCAAGGAGUCUAGCAUGUGCGCGAGUCAUUGGGACACGACUAAACCUAAAGGCGCAAUGAAAGUGAAGGCUCGCCUCGCGCGAGCCGAGGGAGGAUGGGCGGUCGUUUCGGCUGCCGCUCCGCACUCCCGGGGCGUCUCGUUCUCAUUGCGAGAAGAGGCGCACCAAGAGCGUACACGCUGGGACCCGAAAGAUGGUGAACUAUGCCUGGUCAGGACGAAGUCAGGGGAAACCCUGAUGGAGGUCCGUAGCGAUUCUGACGUGCAAAUCGAUCGUCGGAACUGGGUAUAGGGGCGAAAGACUAAUCGAACCAUCUAGUAGCUGGUUCCCUCCGAAGUUUCCCUCAGGAUAGCUGGCGCUCGUCGCCUACGAGUUUCAUCCGGUAAAGCGAAUGAUUAGAGGCAUUGGGGUCGAAACGGCCUCAACCUAUUCUCAAACUUUAAAUGGGUGAGAUCUCCGGCUUGCUCGAACUCAAUCAUGAAGCCGCGAGAAUCGAAUCAGAGUGCCAAGUGGGCCAUUUUUGGUAAGCAGAACUGGCGCUGUGGGAUGAACCAAACGCCGAGUUAAAGCGCCUAAAUCGACGCUUAUGGGAUACCAUGAAAGGCGUUGGUAACUUAAGACAUCAGGACGGUGGCCAUGGAAGUCGGA